rnacentral:lncRNA from 1 species
GUUUGCAGACCAUGAAGCCUCUGUACAUGACUGAAUACUAAGUGGCAGAGCCCCAGUCUUUGCUUUGCAGACCCUUCAAUGCCGGUGGCCAUAGGAGCUUUUUAAUUUAGAUAAUACAAUUGGAAAAGUUGCCUAAAAAUUCUGUUGAACUGAUUCUAAAUCAGAGGUUUCCCAAAUGAAGUUGCUGCAUAACUAGUGAAGCUGAGGAGCCUCUAUUUCUGCAUUAACAUAAUUAGAGACUUUUUCAGUACUGUCUUAUGCCUUUUCAAAUAGUUUUCUCAAAUUGUGAUGAAAACUAGACCAUUGAUAGACACGUAUGAUAUAUCUACUAUUUAGCUUGUGAUGAUGGGAGGAAAUACAGAUUUAUAAUAAUUUACAUGAUAGUUUCAAAGAGUUCAUUCACAGAUUCCACUUAAGGUAUGGAAGUAAAAUUAUGUAGAUUGUAGGUAUACAUUCAGCAAGUCCUCUUUAAAAAAAUGUAUAGCUUAAAAUAACCUAGAUUUGCAUUUAAAGGCAGUGUAAUAAAAUGAUUACUUUUGUAUUUGCAUAUUAUAAUUAUUAUAAGUUGUUAAUUGAUUAGCUUCUGAGUAGAAAUUUGAUGAUACAUGAAAUUUUGACACCCACCUGGAUUCUUUUUGGAUAAUAAUACUUGAUAUGCUUAUAAUAUUGAAGUAUUUUUACUUUAUGAAAAGUUUCAUAUAACUUAGUUUAUCUUUCAGCUACUACUGUGAUUGAAUUUUUAGUUGCUUAAUUUAAUCAUUUAAAACCAGAUUGUAUUCCUUUGCAUGCUCAGUGAUUUAUAUCAACUUUUCAUGCAUUUAGGCUUUUUUGUUUUGGGGGGUUUUUUUGGUAGAUAGGUUUAAAAUUUUUAGCUUUAUGAAUUUGUUUUAGGGAUAUGCUUGCUGAUUUUAACUAGAUGAUUAAAGGCAGCCUUUAGUAUAUAAGUAUCUUGCCAUCAGCUAAAUUUUUAUUCCUAUA